ACUUCCGGUGUCUCCGCAUCGAGCCCUUGCGCACGACGGAGGGCGGCCCAUGGUCUGUGGGUCGGAUGUCUGGCGGUCACACCCGCCGGGAAGAUCUUCUGGCGGAAACAGAAUCUGCUCCUUUCGGGAAAGGCUGAUUGCGCGGUUACGUGCAGCGUGUGUUGAGGAGUGGCUCUGGAAACUUAAAGAGCCCGACGAUCAAGUGAUCUUGCCAACUACCGUUUUAAUCAGCAUGUUUUAUUUUGUUGUGGUACAGGCUCAGCCCAAUGCAAGCCCUGGCAGAUGUCUUCAACACCAGAGUGACACUCAGCCUGAAGGCCAGGAUUGAAGACUGGAAGUACAGGGGCAAGAAAUACCUUUGAAAAUACUCCAGUGUCCAAACUGCUCACUGGUGUUGCUGCCUUUUGAGCCAGGGCACGAGGCUUUGUUGAGGUCACUACUUUUCAUUCCCUCCAAGAUGGACAAGAUGUUUGUUUUGUGCACAGUAAGUGGAACACAGGGCCUCCGGCAUGGUGCUUGUAUGUUCCCUUCAGAAACUAAGGAAUGGAGCAGUGUCUUGAACGUGCUACACAAGCCCCCUAACAGCCAAGCGAAUCCAGCAGCUCUACAGACAUCCUUUCACUGAGCAGUUAUUUCUCCUCCGAUGUUCUGAUCGCUGUGGGCAGCCUCCAAACACUUUUUGAAAAAGCUGGAGAGAAAGGCGAGCUUGAAAAGGGGAAUGCAGGAUAGAGGCAAAGGGAGAGAAGCAGGCAAGCGACUCCACAAUGAUACUCAUUCCUUUAUUGUCAACUGUGUUCAUCUCAACAGGGCUGGGGCCUGCAGGCUGCUGGCAGCACCAAGUUAAGGUGCAUUUCCACUCAACAGAAAGGCCUCCAUCCUAAACCAAGGGGGCAGAGGUUAAUGCUUUAUAUAUAUUUAUAUAUUUAUAUAUUACAUAUGUCCUAGAUAUACAUAUGUCCCAUAUGUAUAGAGUGACAAGAAUGGGCCACUUUGUGUAACUUUAAUUAAAGGCCAUAGCAACAGACAUAGAAAUUUGAUCCUAAUUAAGGCCCGUACUUUGUCAAUCAAAUGUGUGAUACAGUAAAAGAAAAAGGAGAGA
rnacentral:lncRNA from 1 species